AGUUGUUUGAGUUGCACGAAUCCUGAAUACUGUUCAGAAAAUAGAGAUUGCUGCGUAUCAUAUCAUUGCAUGGAAUUUUCUGGCGAAAAAAAAAGAUGUGCUGCACCCAGUAGAAAAUAAAAAGGAAAAACACAUAAUGAAUCAAAGAAACUUCUAGAAAAAAUAAACAU